rnacentral:rRNA from 1 species
UACGUACCGUACGAACGUUAUUCGGAAUUACUGGGCUUAAAGGGUUUGUAGGCGGCCUUGUAAGUCAGGUGUGAAAUCCCUCGGCUCAACCGAGGAAUAGCGCUUGAUACUGCAAGGCUUGAGGGAGACAGGGGUAAGCGGAACUGAUGGUGGAGCGGUGAAAUGCGUUGAUAUCAUCAGGAACACCGGUGGCGAAAGCGACAGGCUGGCCCUCUUCUGACGCUGAGGCGCGAAAGCUAGGGGAGCAAACGGGG